UAGACAAUCGAAAACAAAAGUUCAUAUUUACACUAUUAUAUAUAUAUAUAUAUAUAUAUAUUUUUUUUUUCAGUAUGUGGACCAAAACAUUUGCAACAGGUCCAAAAAUGGAACCAAGAGAAGUUAUUAUUAAAAAAAUUACAGAAAUGGGAUUUACAGAAGACCAAGAAAAAAACGCUUUGAUAAAGGCAGAUUGGAAUGAAACAGUGGCAUUAAAUACCCUACUAGAGAAUUUAUAAUUUAUUCAUUAGACAAAAUUACAUUACUAUUACGUUGUUUAAUACAAAUAUUUUUUUCUUAAAAAUGUUUAGCAUAUAAAAUUAAGAAUGUUGUUAAUUUUUUUUCUUUUCUUAUUUUUUUUCUUAAUUCAAAUAUUUACAUUUUAUUAAUAUUACCAUUUUUAAUAUAUAAAAAAUUUUGUUUAUUUUAUAACAAUUUUAAAUGAUUUAUUUUAUGUUUUUUUUUUUUUUUUUUCACGUAUAAUUUUGUUUAAAUUAAAUAAAAUUUUUUUCUCUUUAAAAAAAAAUUAAAAA
rnacentral:lncRNA from 1 species